rnacentral:rRNA from 1 species
GACGAACGCUGGCGGCGUGCUUAACACAUGCAAGUCGAACGGAAAGGCCCUGCUUUUGUGGGGUGCUCGAGUGGCGAACGGGUGAGUAACACGUGAGUAACCUGCCCUUGACUUUGGGAUAACUUCAGGAAACUGGGGCUAAUACCGGAUAGGAGCUCCUGCUGCAUGGUGGGGGUUGGAAAGUUUCGGCGGUUGGGGAUGGACUCGCGGCUUAUCAGCUUGUUGGUGGGGUAGUGGCUUACCAAGGCUUUGACGGGUAGCCGGCCUGAGAGGGUGACCGGCCACAUUGGGACUGAGAUACGGCCCAGACUCCUACGGGAGGCAGCGGUGGGGAAUAUUGCACAAUGGGCGGGAGCCUGAUGCAGCAACGCCGCGUGCGGGAUGACGGCCUUCGGGUUGUAAACCGCUUUCGCCUGUGACGAAGCGUGAGUGACGGUAAUGGGUAAAGAAGCACCGGCUAACUACGUGCCAGCAGCCGCGGUGAUACGUAGGGUGCGAGCGUUGUCCGGAUUUAUUGGGCGUAAAGGGCUCGUAGGUGGUUGAUCGCGUCGGAAGUGCAAUCUUGGGGCUUAACCCUGAGCGUGCUUUCGAUACGGGUUGACUUGAGGAAGGUAGGGGAGAAUGGAAUUCCUAGUGGAGCGGUGGAAUGCGCAGAUAUCAGGAGGAACACCAGUGGCGAAGGCGGUUCUCUGGGCCUUUCCUGACGCUGAGGAGCGAAAGCGUGGGGAGCGAACAGGCUUAGAUACCCUGGUAGUCCACGCUGUAAACGGUGGGUACUAGGUGUGGGGUCCAUUCCACGGGUUCCGUGCCGUAGCUAACGCUUUAAGUACCCCGCCUGGGGAGUACGGCCGCAAGGCUAAAACUCAAAGGAAUUGACGGGGCCCCGCACAAGCGGCGGAGCAUGCGGAUUAAUUCGAUGCAACGCGUAGAACCUUACCUGGGUUUGACAUGGAUCGGGAGUGCCCAGAGAUGGGUGUGCCUCUUUUGGGGUCGGUUCACAGGUGGUGCAUGGCUGUCGUCAGCUCGUGUCGUGAGAUGUUGGGUUAAGUCCCGCAACGAGCGCAACCCUUGUUCACUGUUGCCAGCACGUUAUGGUGGGGACUCAGUGGAGACCGCCGGGGUCAACUCGGAGGAAGGUGGGGAUGACGUCAAGUCAUCAUGCCCCUUAUGUCCAGGGCUUCACGCAUGCUACAAUGGCUGGUACAGAGAGUGGCGAGCCUGUGAGUGUGAGCGAAUCUCGGAAAGCCGGUCUCAGUUCGGAUUGGGGUCUGCAACUCGACCUCAUGAAGUCGGAGUCGCUAGUAAUCGCAGAUCAGCAACGCUGCGGUGAAUACGUUCCCGGG